rnacentral:rRNA from 1 species
UACGAAGGGGGCUAGCGUUGCUCGGAAUCACUGGGCGUAAAGCGCACGUAGGCGGGUCCUUAAGUCAGGGGUGAAAUCCCGGAGCUCAACUCCGGAACUGCCUUUGAUACUGGGGAUCUUGAGUCCGGAAGAGGUGAGUGGAACUCCGAGUGUAGAGGUGAAAUUCGUAGAUAUUCGGAAGAACACCAGUGGCGAAGGCGGCUCACUGGUCCGGUACUGACGCUGAGACGCGAAAGCGUGGGGAGCAAACAGG